rnacentral:rRNA from 1 species
GAAUCUGUCCGUUGGUCGGGCUUCAUUGUCCGUACUGGCGUGGUGGGUUCUUACCUUCUGAAUAACCAGCAUGCCAUUUACUUGGUGCGCUGGGGAAGCAGGACUAUUACCUUGAAAAAAUUAGAGUGCUCAAAGCAGGCCAGUGCCUGAAUACAUUAGCAUGGAAUAAUAAAAUAGGACGUGCGGUUCUAUUUUGUUGGUUUCUAGAGUCGCCGUA